GCCGUCGUCGACCAGUGGCAGGUCACCUCCAACAGUGCGUCGAUAUAAAACUGGAGGAACCGGGGGUUCGAUUCCUCCCGACGGCA